rnacentral:rRNA from 1 species
GACAGAGGUCCCGAGCGUUAGGCGGAAUCACUGGGCUUAAAGCGUGUGUAGGCGGAGUGCUAAGUACCUUGUGAAAUCCCACGGCUCAACCGUGGAACUGCUUGGUAUACUGGUUCUCUUGAGCCACCUAGGGGCAACCGGAACAAACGGUGGAGCGGUGAAAUGCGUAGAUAUCGUUUGGAACGCCAAUGGUGAAAACAGGUUGCUGGGGGUGUGCUGACGCUGAGACACGAAAGCCAAGGGAGCAAACAGG